UACGUAGGGGGCAAGCGUUGUCCGGAAUCAUUGGGCGUAAAGAGCUCGUAGGCGGCUCAUUGCGUCAACCGUGAAAACCAGCAGCUCAACUGUUGGCUUGCGGUUGAUACGGGUGGGCUGGAGUUCGGUAGGGGAGACUGGAAUUCCUGGUGUAGCGGUGAAAUGCGCAGAUAUCAGGAAGAACACCCGUGGCGAAGGCGGCUCUCUGGGACGGUACUGACGCUGAGACGCGAAAGCGUGGGGAGCGAACAGG
rnacentral:rRNA from 1 species